rnacentral:rRNA from 1 species
GUGGGGAAUAUUGGACAAUGGGCGAAAGCCUGAUCCAGCCAUGCCGCGUGUGUGAAGAAGGUCUUCGGAUUGUAAAGCACUUUAAGUUGGGAGGAAGGGCAGUAAGUUAAUACCUUGCUGUUUUGACGUUACCGACAGAAUAAGCACCGGCUAACUUCGUGCCAGCAGCCGCGGUAAUACGAAGGGUGCAAGCGUUAAUCGGAAUUACUGGGCGUAAAGCGCGCGUAGGUGGUUUUGUAAGUUGGAGGUGAAAGCCCCUGGCUCAACCUGGGAAAUGCCUUCAAUACUGGAUGACUAGAGUACGGUAGAGGGUAGUGGAAUUGCCUGUGUAGCGGUGAAAUGCGUAGAUAUAGGAAGGAACACCAGUGGCGAAGGCGACUACCUGGACUGAUACUGACACUGAGGUGCGAAAGCGUGGGGAGCAAACAGGAUUAGAUACCCGGGUAGUCC